GAUGAACGCUGGCGGUAUGCCUAACACAUGCAAGUCGUACGAGAGUUUUUAACUCUAGUGGCGGACGGGUGAGUAACACGUGAGAAUUUGCCUUUAGGAGGGGGAUAACAAUUGGAAACGAAUGCUAAUACCCCAUAUGCUUUUGAGUGAAAUGGAUUUUAUCCGCCUAGAGAGAAGCUCGCGGCUGAUUAGCUUGUUGGUAAGGUAAGAGCUUACCAAGGCGACGAUCAGUAUCUGGUUUGAGAGGACGAUCAGACACACUGGAACUGAGACACGGUCCAGACUCCUACGGGAGGCAGCAGUGGGGAAUUUUCCGCAAUGGGCGAAAGCCUGACGGAGCAAUACCGCGUGAGGGAAGACUGCCUAUGGGUUGUAAACCUCUUUUUCUAGGGAGGAAUAAAAUGACGUGUACCUGAAGAAUAAGCAUCGGCUAACUCCGUG
rnacentral:rRNA from 1 species